CACAAGUUUAGAUAACCACACACACACACACAUUACCAGUUUACCACCGCCUGCGUAUCGAUCUCGAGUUCAACUUCAACAUGCCAACAACUUCGAAAGCCCCGAAGCCAGCUUCGCCGGGGUUACGUACCCCCAGCGAUUGGCCAACUGCUGAUGAGAAGCCUCGUCGACAGCAGCAGCAGCAGCAGCAGCCGUCUCCUGAAGCAGCUCCUAAAGAUAAAGGUGUGCAGACUCCUGUUCAACCCAAGAAGACUGCUGCAAAGAAGAAGGCCUAACUACGGCGUUGAGGGGUCUGCACUCUGGAGAUGCAAAAGGGAGAAUAUACAUGAAUGCAUGUCAUAUUGCUAGUCCACAAGGUAGAUGGAUCCUACAUAUAAAUAUACAUAUACACACAGUUCAAUAUCAAUGUGUCGUAGACGUAGUCGUUCAUAAGCAAAGGUAGACAAAUACAACUUAUGUUAUUAGGUAUUGGGAAUUGGUUUAUACAGUACUAUAUGUAUCUGCAUGCUACUCAUGCUAGCUGCUACCAAAAAUAAUGUAUAUACGGCGGUUCCUCCAUGAAUGAAAGAAAAACACAUU